rnacentral:rRNA from 1 species
UACGGAGGGGACUAGCGUUGUUCGGAAUUACUGGGCGUAAAGCGCGCGCAGGUGGUUUCUUAAGUCUGAUGUGAAAGCCCACGGCUCAACCGUGGAGGGUCAUUGGAAACUGGGGAACUUGAGUGCAGAAGAGGAAAGUGGAAUUCCAAGUGUAGCGGUGAAAUGCGUAGAGAUUUGGAGGAACACCAGUGGCGAAGGCGACUUUCUGGUCUGUAACUGACACUGAGGCGCGAAAGCGUGGGGAGCGAACAGG